rnacentral:tRNA from 2 species
GCCAGGGUAGCUCAAUGGUGGAGCACAACAUUCAUAACGUUGAGGUUGUGGGUUCGAUCCCCACCCCUGGUA